rnacentral:rRNA from 1 species
GAUGAACGCUGGCGGCGUGCCUAAUACAUGCAAGUCGAGCGAACAGACGAGGAGCUUGCUCCUCUGACGUUAGCGGCGGACGGGUGAGUAACACGUGGAUAACCUACCUAUAAGACUGGGAUAACUUCGGGAAACCGGAGCUAAUACCGGAUAAUAUAUUGAACCGCAUGGUUCAAUAGUGAAAGACGGUUUUGCUGUCACUUAUAGAUGGAUCCGCGCCGCAUUAGCUAGUUGGUAAGGUAACGGCUUACCAAGGCGACGAUGCGUAGCCGACCUGAGAGGGUGAUCGGCCACAAUGGAACUGAGACACGGUCCAGACUCAUACGGGAGGCAGCAGUAGGGAAUCUUCCGCAAUGGGCGAAAGCCUGACGGAGCAACGCCGCGUGAGUGAUGAAGGUCUUCGGAUCGUAAAACUCUGUUAUUAGGGAAGAACAAAUGUGUAAGUAACUAUGCACGUCUUGACGGUACCUAAUCAGAAAGCCACGGCUAACUACGUG